rnacentral:ncRNA from 1 species
GCUAAAUCGAUGAAUAAGAAAAGUAGCGCAGGUGUACCUCUCAAAGAGAGCCAGUGGCAGGUGGAAACUGGUGGGGUAUCUGAGUGAAUGGGCUUAUGAGUGAUUCUUUGAACCGCAAGUAGAAGAAUCCGUUCCCCCACGUUAUCAGGGAUAGAGUAAAAGCUGUAAUAGCUUUAACAUGAGGUGGUACCACGGUCAAUCCGUCCUCUGU